CGGGGCGUAGCGCAGCUCGGUAGCGCGCCUGCUUUGGGAGCAGGAUGUCGCAGGUUCGAAUCCUGUCGCCCCGACCA
rnacentral:tRNA from 2 species